rnacentral:lncRNA from 1 species
CGUAGCUUCCUUGUCGUGUGGCCUCGGUCCUUCGCCGUCCCUCGCCGUCCUUCGCCAUCGCAUGCCAUCGCACGCCACCGCACCCCAUCUCUCGAAAUCUGCAGACAUCUUGAUUUUUCCCACGCUGUCUGUCAGGUCUCCGCCGCCACUCGACGCCAGGGCGCCGGGUGAGUCCACAGCAGGGCGCAUGGUCUGCUCCACUCUCACCAUCGGGGGAAACUGAGGCCCCGGGGAAGGCGGCCAGAGAGGUCAGGCCCGGUCCUUGGUGCAGUGUCUCGUCCUCUUUGCCGGAGUGAGCCCCCCAGGAUUCGCGUAUCCUCGGGAAAGACACUGGCGGGAAUGUCACAUGACUGCCGCCCCAUGUGUGUGAGAGGUGUCCUCUGGGAGAGCAUGGAUCCUGAGGUCCCAGGAUUGUCAGCUGACCUCUGUCCUGUGUGCCCAGUGGCCCCAGGUGACGUGUCUUCAAGAAGAGGCUGAGCUGCGGUGCUUGUAAGGGUCUCACUCUGUCACCCAGGCGGCUGGAGUGCAGUGGUGCAAUGAUGGCUCACUGCAGCCUCGACCUGGGCUCAAGUGAUCCUCCACCUCAGCUUCCCGAGUAGCUGGGACCACAGAGUCAUGUGCUGUUCCUGGGGCUUGGAUGAUGUAGGGGAAGCAAGGUGAA